rnacentral:misc_RNA from 1 species
AUCUAUCAAUUUUCUAAAAUCGACACUGUGAUAAAAAGGGUUAUAAUUGUUAGACAACUACACAAAGCUAUGCAGUUUCAAAGGUUGUCUUCGGAAACACAUAUAAAUUUUGACACGACAUCUAAAAGUGUUGGAGAAAUCAAAACUCCUAUAGCGGCUCUCUGUGGAGUUCCCCGCCACUGUGUGGAGAUUGUGGACAUGGAGGAAGGCAUAAUCUACGAUGAUUGCCGAGAUGUUACGAUGCUUUCCCGCCCUUUACAAGUGAUGGUCGGUACUGAUGAGAGGCGUGUCCCGUUCUAUCUUCUGACCACAGAUGCCGACAUGAUUGAUCAAGACCCUGAUGACGAGGAACCGCGACUGAAAAUGUCUUGUGGUCACGCAAUCAGUCAGUGCAGUUGUAUUUGAUUAUGAGUUAUAACUAAUAUGCAAAGUGCUCACCAAUUACAUUACAUCGGUUGUUUGAAAAUUGCUACUACUAGAGUAUAUGAGCAGACAAUGGAAUCACAAGUUUCAGAUAACCUUUACUUAACAUACAAUCUGCUAGAUAAUAUCCCACAAAUGCGCGGAAAUUAUCACUCAACAUUUUAAUAUGAUACAACGCUCAGUAUGUUGAAGCAUAUUUUUUUUUUCAUUUUGAAUUAUGUCUGCUCUAAAAGCAUGUACAUUCUUCCCUGUGGAAACUUUUAAGUUUACAGUAGGUAAAUAAUAAAUAUUUUUAUUUCAUUUUUACAGCUCCAUAUAACUUGUUUGGGCAUAUGCGAAAUUCGUUGAUAAAUAAGGUUAAAAGUUCAGUAACCUGUUUGACCCCCGGAUGUAACCAGGAAUGGAGUAUGAAUGAAAUGAUAAAGAAAGCAGAUAUGACGACGGAUGAAUCUUUAUUCUUUGAAUAUAAGAUAUCACUGAACGCUAUUUUUAGUCACAACAAUGAUAUCUCAGAAUGUCCGAAUUGUGGUCAGUUUUGUCAACGACAACAAAACACUCAGGCUGUCCGGUGCAGCAUCUGUUCACCGAAAAAACACGAAAAGCAGGCUGAUUUCUGCUGGGAUUGUAAAGCUCCAUGGGUUCCAAAUCACACAUGCAAAAACCGAGAUCUAGAAGCCAUACAGAAAAUACUGAACGAAGCCCCACUAAAAACCUUGGAUUAUUCAAAAAUUGAAAGGGUACCAUCGAAGCGCCUUUGUCCUAACUGUCGAACUCUUCUCGAACACGAACGGAUGUGUAAACAGAUGAAAUGUCCGGGUUGUCAAAUUGAGUUCUGUUUUUCAUGUUUAACUCUCUGUGUUGGUGGCAGACUACAGUGUACUGGAUACAAUAAGGAGUGUAGUGUUGCUCCCGUGCAAAACGCAUUCUCUUGAUUGCUACAUCCCUGUAUUAAACCAAUUUUCCGUAUGUAUGAUGAUUGCUUUGCUCAUCAAACUGAACUAAUACAUGUACAUACUUGAAUGAUAAUUAUUUGGAAGCAUUCGAUUCUCGAUAAUCAAGAAUUAUAAAUAAAUGAACUAUA